UACAGAGGUGGCAAGCGUUGUUCGGAAUUACUGGGCGUAAAGCGUGCGCAGGCGGUUUUGCAAGCCGGAUGUGAAAUCCCCGGGCUUAACCUGGGAAUGGCAUUUGGGACUGCAAGGCUGGAGUGCGGCAGAGGAGACUGGAAUUCCUGGUGUAGCAGUGAAAUGCGUAGAUAUCAGGAGGAACACCGAUGGCGAAGGCAGGUCUCUGGGCUGACACUGACGCUCAUGCACGAAAGCGUGGGGAGCAAACAGG
rnacentral:rRNA from 1 species